rnacentral:rRNA from 1 species
GACGAACGCUGGCGGCGUGCCUAAUACAUGCAAGUCGAACGCAGUGGGGACGGGUGAUUAAAACGUGGGUAACCUCCCCACAGAGGGGAUAACACUUGGAAACAGGUGCUAAACCGAUAAUGCUGGAUGGACCCGCGGUGCAUUAGCUAGUUGGUGAGUGACCGGCUCACCAAGGCCACGAUGCAUAGGCGACCUGAGAGUGUGAUCGGCCACACUGGGCCGGAUACACGGCCCAGACUCCGACGGGAGGCAGCAGUAGGGAAUCUUCGGCAAUGGACGAAAGUCUGACCGAGCAACGCCGCGUGAGUGAAGCAGGUUUUCGGAUCGUAAAACUCUGUUGUUAGAGAAGCGGUAUCUAACCAGAAAGCCACGGCUAACUACGUGCCAGCAGCCGCGGUAAUUC